GACGAACGCUGGCGGCGUGCCUAAUACAUGCAAGUAGAACGCUGAAGGAGGAGCUUGCUUCUCUGGAUGAGUUGCGAACGGGUGAGUAACGCGUAGGUAACCUGCCUGGUAGCGGGGGAUAACUAUUGGAAACGAUAGCUAAUACCGCAUAAUAGUAGAUGUUGCAUGACAUUUGCUUAAAAGGUGCAAUUGCAUCACUACCAGAUGGACCUGCGUUGUAUUAGCUAGUUGGUGAGGUAACGGCUCACCAAGGCAACGAUACAUAGCCGACCUGAGAGGGUGAUCGGCCACACUGGGACUGAGACACGGCCCAGACUCCUACGGGAGGCAGCAGUAGGGAAUCUUCGGCAAUGGACGGAAGUCUGACCGAGCAACGCCGCGUGAGUGAAGAAGGUUUUCGGAUCGUAAAGCUCUGUUGUAAGAGAAGAACGAGUGUGAGAGUGGAA
rnacentral:rRNA from 1 species